rnacentral:rRNA from 1 species
AGGACGAACGCUGGCGGCGUGCUUAACACAUGCAAGUCGAGCGGUAAGGCCUUUCGGGGUACACGAGCGGCGAACGGGUGAGUAACACGUGGGUGAUCUGCCCUGCACUUCGGGAUAAGCCUGGGAAACUGGGUCUAAUACCGGAUAUGACCUCCUAUCGCAUGGUGGGUGGUGGAAAGAUUUAUCGGUGCAGGAUGGGCCCGCGGCCUAUCAGCUUGUUGGUGGGGUAAUGGCCUACCAAGGCGACGACGGGUAGCCGACCUGAGAGGGUGACCGGCCACACUGGGACUGAGACACGGCCCAGACUCCUACGGGAGGCAGCAGUGGGGAAUAUUGCACAAUGGGCGAAAGCCUGAUGCAGCGACGCCGCGUGAGGAUGACGGCCUUCGGGUUGUAACCUCUUUCAGCAGGACGAAGCGCAAGUGACGGUACCUGCAGAAGAAGCACCGGCUAACUACGUGCCAGCAGCC